CAGAGGGUGCAAGCGUUAUUCGGAAUUAUUGGGCAUAAAGCGCAUGUAGGUGGUUUGAUAAGUCUGAUGUGAAAUCCCCGGACUCAAUUCGGGAAGUGCAUUGGAUACUGUCAGGCUAGAGUAUGGGAGAGGUGAGCGGAAUUCCAGGUGUAGAGGUGAAAUUCGUAGAUAUCUGGAGGAACAACAGAGGCGAAGGCGGCUCACUGGACCAUUACUGACACUGAGAUGCGAAAGCGUGGGGAGCAAACAGGAUUAGAUACCCUGGUAGUCCACGCCGUAAACGAUGGAUACUAGACGUCGGUUGGUCUUACCCGAUCGGUGUCGUAGCUAAUGCGUUAAGUAUCCCGCCUGAGGAGUACGGUCGCAAGAUUA
rnacentral:rRNA from 1 species